AUGAGGUGGGGUGAGGGGAUCACCUCGGGGAGCAGGGUCACCUCAUGGAAGGGGUGGCCCUUCUCGGCCCCCGGACUAGUUCCCUGCUGGGUCCCGCUUUUUGCCCCCCUGCACCAGCUAACCUCAGGGGUGGCGCUGAGCACCUUUCCGCAUCCCAAAAUUAAAUGUGGCCCUGUCAUGUCUAACUGGCACUUGUACGUGGUCUUGGUCUUCACCUCAGGUAGCAGGAAGUGUGGGGCCAUCUUCCGUGUCCUUCAUCCGCGGCAGCCCAGCUUUUCACUGGAGGUUAUGGGGGAGACCUGGGCUCUUGGACGGCGCCCUCCUCCUCCUAUUCCUCCCAGUGGUGGGUCUUUCUUCUUGAGAGGUCGCUUGCUGCCAUUGCAGGGGGCAUCGGAGAGCGUGGCUGCAAACCCCGCUCAGGGGGAACCUGGGCUGGCUGGCGUUCAGCAGGAGCAGCUCCAUGCAGAGAUGAAGCAGGAGGAGGCUGGGAACGCCAGGGUGCUGGCAGGGAACGGGUGGAUGCCCAGAUGUGAGAGGGAGAGAGACGUGGCGGAAGAUGCAGAGCGAGCGUGGUCGUGUGGGGUGUCCCCGUGGACGGCUGAAGAGGCGAUUCCCUCACGUGGCGUUCAAGAAGGAGCCUUCGUCAGCCAGGAGAGAGCAUAGGUCCCACAACCGAUCUACGCAGGGGGUGGAGGGGAGGCUGUAAGGCCCUCAUCGUCACCCAAGUCCAGAUUUGAUCCGACACUGGUAGAAAACGCAAAGUGUACAGUAAGAGCUUCGGGCAGAAUCCCGGGAUGCUGAAGAACCGCCGCACAGCAAGCAAAGCCCACAAGUGCCUGGUCUGUGGGAAAUUCUUCCUUUCCAGCUCCAAGAUCGUCAUUCACCAGAGGACCCACACUGGGGAGAAGCCCUACGAAUGCUCGGCAUGUGGGAAAACCUUCUGGUCCAGCUCCGUGCUUUACCGUCACCAGAGAAUCGACACGGGGGAAAAGCCGCAGAAAUGCCCUGCCUGCGGGAGAAGAUUCUGCAGCAACUCCAACCUCAGGCGACAUCAGAGGAUCCACACGGGGGAGAAGCCGUUCGAGUGCCUGGCCUGCGGGAAAAGCUUCGUUCAGAGGGCAAACCUUAAUAAGCACCACAAAAUCCAUGCGGUGGAAGGAAAAUGCGGGGCAGACGUUAGUAGGAGCUGAAGCCUUCCGCCUGUUUGCAAAAACCUAGGACGGACUCUUUGGAACUCCUCUCUGUUUUGGACACCUUGAUGAAUAGCAGGAGCAGAAGGAGCGCUGGGUGGCCUCUGUUCAUUGCUUGCAGGUGCUAAUGCUCAGAGAUAUGAUAGCAAGAGCCAGUUUGGGUAACAGCAUUUUUCUUGACUGUGUUUGUACCAUCACACGUUUGCAAAAGACAAUCACAUCCUCUUGCCUUCCCUGUCUUAUAGGCCAUACCUUGCUGCAAGUAUGAGUCAGGACUGGCUGAGGAUGAGUACAGUUGGACCCCCUUGUCCACAGGAUCAGUAUCCACCGAUUCACGUAUCCACACUCGGAAAAUGAUAAAAAUAUUAAAUAUAAUAUUCUUAAAAUAUAAAAAUAUUAAAAGAAAAAUUCCAUAAAUAUAUACAGUAUAUUUCUAACAAUGAAGCACAUGUCCACCCCUACCCCCCCCAGCCCUUCGGAGGGAAAUCCUCUUGAGAAACUUUGCUGUGGCUGCUGAGAGGGACUGGCCACCUUGCUCUCUGGAAUGGCGUUCGCCUAGGGAGGGGGGCCUCUCCUUGGAGCCCAAGGCCAGCCUGACUGGAGGGGGGGUUGGCCUCUUCCCACCCCAGGAACUGAAGGCCUCCAGACCAUAAACCCCUCCUGCGAGUUCUGUGGCGGGAGGAAGGGAUGCCUUCUCUGCGUGCCCCCCCCCAAUCCUGCUCAAGGAUCCGUUAUUUCUCUCUCCCAAAUUUCAGCUGGAUUGAAUGCCGACCCCUGGAGACUCCUUCCCUGCCUUGGCCACAAACCCACCGGCCGGAGGAGAUGCACGAAGAGAGUGGGGGGGGGGCGCCUUGCAGGAUCUGACCCUUGGAACUCCUGUUGCUCAACCUGACUUGGAAAUGUGUGCAUGAAAAUAAACAAAUUCCUUCAGCCUGACUCCCA
rnacentral:lncRNA from 1 species